AGUGAACGCUGGCGGUAGGCCUAACACAUGCAAGUCGAACGGCAGCACAGUAAGAGCUUGCUCUUACGGGUGGCGAGUGGCGGACGGGUGAGGAAUACAUCGGCAUCUACUUUUUCGUGGGGGAUAACGUAGGGAAACUUACGCUAAUACCGCAUACGACCUACGGGUGAAAGCAGGGGAUCUUCGGACCUUGCGCGAUUGAAUGAGCCGAUGUCGGAUUAGCUAGUUGGCGGGGUAAAGGCCCACCAAGGCGACGAUCCGUAGCUGGUCUGAGAGGAUGAUCAGGCACACUGGAACUGAGACACGGUCCAGACUCCUACGGGAGGCAGCAGUGGGGAAUAUUGGACAAUGGGCGCAAGCCUGAUCCAGCCAUACCGCGUGGGUGAAGAAGGCCUUCGGGUUGGAAAGCCCUUUUGUUGGGAAAGAAAAGCAGCAGGUUAAUACCCCGCUGUUCUGACGGUACCCAAAGAAUAAGCACCGGCUAACUUCGUU
rnacentral:rRNA from 1 species